rnacentral:rRNA from 1 species
AUUGAACGCUGGCGGCAGGCUUAACACAUGCAAGUCGAGCGGGGAAGAGCAGCUUGCUACUUGACCUAGCGGCGGACGGGUGAGUAAUGCUUAGGAAUCUGCCUAUUAGUGGGGGACAACAUCUCGAAAGGGAUGCUAAUACCGCAUACGUCCUACGGGAGAAAGCAGGGGACCUUCGGGCCUUGCGCUAAUAGAUGAGCCUAAGUCGGAUUAGCUAGUUGGUGGGGUAAAGGCCUACCAAGGCGACGAUCUGUAGCGGGUCUGAGAGGAUGAUCCGCCACACUGGGACUUAGACACGGCCCAGACUCCUACGGGAGGCAGCAGUGGGGAAUAUUGGAUAAUGGGGGGAACCCUGAUCCAGCCAUGCCGCGUGUGUGAAGAAGGCCUUUUGGUUGUAAAGCACUUUAAGUGAGGAGGAGGCUACCGAGAUUAAUACUCUUGGAUAGUGGACGUUACUCGCAGAAUAAGCACCGGCUAACUCUGUGCCAGCCGCCGCAGUAAAAC